AAUUGGAGGGCAAGUCUGGUGCCAGCAGCCGCGGUAAUUCCAGCUCCAAUAGCGUAUAUUAAAGUUGUUGCAGUUAAAAAGCUCGUAGUUGAAUUUCGGGAUCAAUAUUUCGGUCAUGCCGUUGGUAUGCACUGUUAUAAUUGAUUUCUCACCUUCUAAAGAACCGUAAUGCCAUUAAUUUGGUGUUACGGGGAAUUAGGACUGUUACCUUGAAAAAAUUAGAGUGUUUAAAGCAGGCUCACGCUUGAAUACAUUAGCAUGGAAUAAUGAAAUAGGACAUCCGAUUCUAUUUUGUUGGUUUCUAGGAUCGAUGUAAUGAUUAAUAGGGAUAGUUGGGGGCAUUAGUAUUCAAUUGUCAGAGGUGAAAUUCUUGGAUUUAUUGAAGACUAACUACUGCGAAAGCAUUUGCCGAGGAUGUUUUCAUUAAUCAAGAACGAAAGUUAGGGGAUCGAAGACGAUCAGAUACCGUCGUAGUCUUAACCAUAAACUAUGCCGACUAGGGAUCGGAUGAUGUUAAUUUUUUAAUGACUCAUUCGGCGCCUUACGGGAAACCAAAGUGU
rnacentral:rRNA from 1 species